UAGCUAGAAAAACAUAUCUUUACUACAUUUUCCUAUCACAUCAGGCAUAUAUUUUCUAUUUUGUUUAAAUAUAUUUAAGGUAAUACCAAAAAGAAAAAACAACAAUUUCAAGAAUAACUAUGACAGUUUCAUCUAUAACUAUAGUUAUAUGAUUGGGUUUUUAAAAAAUAUCUAUUAUUUGAAAACAGUUUAGAUACAAGUUAUGAAAGAGCAUUUAUAAAAACAUUUUUCAGGUGUUCGCUGGGUUCCAUUCCAACGCUGACACGAACAAGGUUUCUAUCUAUGCCAUUCUCACCAGCCCAAUCCAACUCUUGGUAGUGAGCUAAAAUUGCAUAGGGAGAAGCCAACGUAAAAUUUGUACCAAGUGAGGGACCUUUUGCUACUUGGAUUUUGUCGUAAAAUUGGCGCGCAUCUUCAGGAUUGUGGAAAACGACAGACAAAAGACCACCAUAACCUCCAUUUUCUCUCCGGCAAGCUUCAAAAUGCUCUUUUGAUGUAUUGUAUUUGGGAUAGUAUAGAGUUUUAAUUUUAGGGUUUUGAUAAAGCAAAUUACAAAUUGUUUCCGCGUUAUGGUUUAUCACUUGUGAACGUUCAGCAAAAUCUCUGCUAUUUCUUUCUAAUGUCAAAGCAUCCUCAUCAUAUAAUAAGUCUUCAUAAAGAGCCUUCAUAGCAUCUUUUAUUCGAGAGUAGUAACGACUUGACGGAUUUAAAACCAUACUACCUCCCAUUACAUUACUAUCACCGCUAAAAAUCUUUGUGAGGCUGCUGACAACUACAUCUGCUAAUGGUAAAACCUCAACGUUGACAAAAUUUCCAAUUGUUUCAUCAACCACGACAGCAAAAUCAUAACUGUCUGCUAAUUUCCGAAUACGAACCAAAUCGGGAGAGUUUAAAAGAGGAUUUGAUGGAAACUCACAAAACAAUGCCAUAACUUUCUCUCCACUUUCUAACCGUUUCUCAAACUCAUCAAGUUGCUCGUCAUUACCUAGUCCAUAAAAGUAGCAGCCAGAUCCCCAUUUCUGUAAAAUUUUUAAGGUAUCAACAUAACAAAAACCAAAACAAACACUUUUACGGCUAUCAUCAAGCACCAACCUUAAUAUGCGAUGAGUAUUGUAAAUAGCACUCAUGCCAGUAGGAAAUAAAAAAACAUCGUCGUGACUUAAACCUUUAACUUCACGUAAAUACUGAGACCCUUCUUUGGGUAAAGCCUUUUGCAAAUCAACUUCAUCUUUUAAGGUACCAGCGAUACGUCGUCGAAGAACAAGUUUAGCUGCUGUAGCCAAACUUAAAUCUAAAUUACGCCCAUAUCUCUCCUCCAAAUAUAGGGAUACGUCUUCCAUUUCAUCAUUAGCUUGGUUUCCUUCGUUAGUCAUCCAAGUAUUCAAAGCCUGUAGAUCUGGAUGGGAAGCAUAUCGGCUUCUGCUUUUACUUUUGAGAUGAGAAAUAGACCUCUGGGCAACCAAAAAUUCGGAAAUAGACUGAAUUUUUUUGUAGGAAUGCAGAAAAGCAGCUGCGCGUCUGCUUGAAAUACCGUCCCCCGUAUGUUGCCAGAAUUGCUUGGCAAUCCCAAAGUAUUUGGAUGGAAACAAUACAGAAUAAACCUGAGGUAUGUGUAUUUCUUCAGUAUAUUUGCGAUUUCGGUCAAUUGAAUCAAGAUGUUUUCGCAGUCCCUUCGUGGCAUCAUAAAUAAUGACUUCCGCAGAGUCUAUAGGUCCUUUACUUUCAAGAAAAGCUGCACUUUGCUUAGCAACGGAUAAUGAAGGAUACAAAAACAUAUCGUAGUCCUUUAGCUUCAAAAUCUCAAUCUCUGGAAAUUUCUUUAUGAUGCUAAUGCAAUCCUUGACGUGUGCGCUUAUAAAGAACCUCGGAUAUCCUGACUUCAUUUUAGUAGUUACAUUAGGAUCUCCCUCUUCAUAUCCAACAUUGGAUUUCCAUGUAGGUAAAGUAACUGAAAUGGCAUGUUCAGUAUCAGCUGGAAUUGAUGAACCGACCUCUGUAGGUGGAUUGACUAGGUAAGAAAUAUUUGCAGACAUUUAAAGAAUUAAAUAAAAUUGAGAUUUAUAUAUAAAUAGCCAUAAACAAAAGUUUUGGGUUCUUGCAAAAAUCUGGAGUGAAUUGUGUGUGGAAUUGGGACAACCAUCUCUUUAGACCCAAUAGGCGUGCAGGACAGUUCUGUCCUCUAUAUCAAAUCAGCUAUCAGUUUGAUUCAUGAAUUAAUAACAAAAAAUAGUACUGUUUUCUUUCUAGAAUUUUACAAUGAUACAUAAAUCGAGUUAGGUACAACUUUAUCAGAUAGCCGUGUAGGAA